GGGCCCGCACAAGCGGUGGAGCAUGUGGUUCAAUUCGACGCAACGCGAAGAACCUUACCUGGGUUGGAACCCCCCGGAAGUUUCCAGAGAUGGAGAUUUGCCCGCAAGGGAACCGGGUGUCCAGGUGCUGCAUGGCUGUCGUCAGCUCGUGUCGUGAGAUGUUGGGUUAAGUCCCGCAACGAGCGCAACCCUUGUCGUUAGUUGCCAGCGGUUCGGCCGGGCACUCUAACGAGACUGCCGGUGUUAAACCGGAGGAAGGUGGGGAUGACGUCAAGUCCUCAUGGCCCUUAUGCCCAGGGCUACACACGUGCUACAAUGGCCGGUACAAAGGGUUGCAAACCCGCGAGGGCAAGCCAAUCCCAAAAAACCGGCCUCAGUUCAGAUUGAAGUCUGCAACUCGACUUCAUGAAGUCGGAAUCGCUAGUAAUCCCUGAUCAGCAGGCAGGGGUGAAUACGUUCCCGGGCCUU
rnacentral:rRNA from 1 species